rnacentral:tRNA from 3 species
GUCUCAGUAGCUCAGCUGGAUAGAGCAUUGGCCUUCUAAGCCAACGGUCGGGGGUUCGAAUCCCUCCUGGGAUACCA